rnacentral:tRNA from 1 species
GGGUUGUAGCUCAGUGGUAGAGUGCUUGCCUUGCAUGUGUGAGGCCCUGGGUUCAAUCCUCAGCUCCA